rnacentral:rRNA from 1 species
GCGCGCCUAAAACAUGCAAGUCGAACGAGAAGCCCGGGCUUGCCCGGGUGGACAGUGGCGAACGGGUGAGUAACACGUGAGGAACCUGCCCCGAAGACCGGGACAACACCGGGAAACCGGUGCUAAUACCGGAUACCUUCACCGGAUCGCAUGUUCUGGUGAAGAAAUGGAUUCCGCUUCGGGAUGGCCUCGCGGCCUAUCAGCUAGUUGGUGAGGUAACGGCUCACCAAGGCGACGACGGGUAGCUGGUCUGAGAGGAUGUCCAGCCACACUGGGACUGAGACACGGCCCAGACUCCUACGGGAGGCAGCAGUUAGGAAUCUUGCGCAAUGGACGAAAGUCUGACGCAGCGACGCCGCGUGCGGGAUGAAGGCCUUCGGGUUGUAAACCGCUUUCAGCAGGGACGAAAUUGACGGUACCUGCAGAAGAAGCCCCGGCCAACUACGUGCCAGCAGCCGCGGUAAUACGUAGGGGGCAAGCGUUGUCCGGAUUUAUUGGGCGUAAAGA